rnacentral:rRNA from 1 species
GUGCAGCAGGCGAGAAACCUUUACAAUGUCUUCACGGACGAUAGGGGAAUCCUGAGUGCUCUAGCAUUGCUAGAGCUUUUGCUUACUGAAAAAGGUAGGCGAAUAAGUGGUGGGUAAGACGGGUGCCAGCCGCCGCGGUAAUACCCGCGCCACAAGUGGUGACCACGUUUAUUGGGUCUAAAGCGUUCGUAGCCGGCCUGAUAAAUUCUCGGUGAAAUCCUGUGUAAAUCAUAGGGCGUGCCGGGAAGACUGUCAAGCUAGGAACCGGGAGAGGCUGAGGGUACUCCAGGAGUAGGGGUUAAAAUGCCGUUAUGGUUUAACCCUACGGUUUAACAAUCCUGUAAUUCUUGGAGGACCACCGGUGGCGAA